CACAUGUGUUGUUUUGGCUCAGUCUCCUGGAGCAGCAGGGUUUGUGCUUGACCUCAGACACCAGGUCAUGCCCAGGAGUUCAGAAUCAUGUGUGGAGAAGGUGUUCCACAUUUCCCAUGUCUUCUGAUGUGGCCUUGAGGUUGUAGCUCUCUUCUAUUAUGAACAGAGAUUUUCUCAUAUCUGCAAAAAAACAAUGCAUCAGACCAACAACAAGUGAGACAUAAGGCAAAAUGGGCAUGUGAAAUAAACAGUCAUCUCUC